GUUUCCGUUCUGCGCUUCAGUUUCAUCAGUAUCAUCCGGCGGACUAAACACUAACGAUCGUAUUGCCGCCUGUCGGUCGGAAGGGAAAGUUUUAUACCGUAAUACGUAGAAAUUCACGAAUGACGCGAUCGCGCCAACUAUUCAGGCACGAGAAGGGGAAGGAGGGGGAAGCGGGGCUGCGAUUGUCUUCCCGUUAAAGCCUGGUGGAUUAUACGGUGCAACCGUAUAAUUAAACGCAUGGUUAGAGCACGCAGCAAAUCCAAACCUUUGAACAACGAUGUGUAAACGAUGAAACCAGGAGAUAUUAGUCACAAGAGUUAGAAAUGUUGUUUAUGAAAAUGUCAUGUUAUUAAAUGUUAAAAAAACCUUUUCAUUUUCUAGAGAGAGGGCGAAAUUUAGCCCAUUUCUAAA